GGACUACAGGGGUAUCUAAUCCCGUUCGCUCCCCUGGCUUUCGCACCUCAGCGUCAGAUACGCGCCAGGACACUGCCUUCGCCUUCGGUGUUCCUCCGGAUCUCUACGCAUUUCACCACUCCACCCGGAAUUCCGUGUCCCUCUCGCGCUCUCAAGUCAGACCGUCUUUCGUAUGCUCGCCUAGUUAAGCCAGGCGCUGUCACACCAAACGCGUCCGACCGCCUGCAUGCCCUUUACGCCCAGUAACUCCGGACAACGCUUGCCCCCUACGUAUUACCGCGGCUGCUGGCAC
rnacentral:rRNA from 1 species